GGCCUUUCUGACACAGCACUGGGCCUGGCAGGGGCACUGUAGCCCCUUGGCUUUCUUCACAGAACUCUACUGGUUCUGGAAUGUGUGCAGCCAGGCUUGGUAAGGUCUUGCUUGGACACUGGGAUGUCUGGGUUUUUCUGAACCCCUGCUGGACUGUGGGCUGCCUUGGGGGAUGGUGCUGCUUUGUUCAGAAAAGAUACCCCCUCCCCCCUGCUGGACUGUGGGCUUGCUAUGCUCGCCCUUGCUGGGUUUUCUGCACCUGCCUUCUCUCUGGUAGCCAUCUUUGUUUUCAGGGGAGCCUCAGCAAUGGGUGAAUUCUCUCAGUGACUAAUGAGGGAAGCCCUGUCCUGUCCUCUUGAUCAGCACUGGUAUCAUAGAAGAGAGUGUGAGCUCUCUGGGCAGGGGAGGGACUUGGAAAGGGGUCUCACACAUUUGAGUACUAGCAUUAACUCCUGGUAAAGGUGUGGGGGUCUUAGGCUGCCCCUUAUUUCUGUAUUUUGUCCUUAGAACAACCAGAGGAGUCAGUCCUUCAGAUACAAGAACAUUCAGGAGUUUAUUUGGUAGUUUCUAGCUAGGGAGUCACAGUUCCCAGUCCAGGCAGUGUCUAUCAUUCAAUGGGGGCAAGAUGUGGGAGUCUCCAGGUUCAGUGAGGGCCCAGAAAGCCUUAUACCCUUCAACAUAGUCUGGUGUUUGAGUGAGGAGAAAGAGGAAGCAACACUGCUUUCUGCCCGUCUCAACUGCUUCUUUAGAGAUUCUAGCAGGGGAGGGUAGCUACUCCCAUACCUGUGACCAGACAAUGGUCUUCCUGUAUCAAGGAAGGCCGUCAUCUUUGACAGAGCAUGCAGCUCUGGGAGGGAUGUAUGUGGAGCAAAUUGAGAGGAAGGGAACACAUGACGAGCCAGCUAGAUCAGCCUAAUCAACCCUGGAGACUCCCGGGACGACAGAUGUCACAGUCACACUCCUCUCAGAUUUAGCCUGUCCACCUCUAGUACUCACCUACUCUGUGGCUGUGAGAAAACCCUUGACAAAAGCAACUUAAGAGAGGAGUAGGGGUUUGCCCUGGCCCAGGGCUUCAGAUGGUACAGCCCAGCAUCGUGGGGAAGGCAUGACAGAAUUCAUGGUGGCAGAAUUCCUUUUCUCCCUUUUUUGUCCAAGGCUCUAGCCCAUGGCAUGAUGACAUUCACAUUCAGGGUGUGCCAUCCCUUACCAGUUAACCUUCUCUGGAAACAUCCCCAUACUCCCAGCCAGAUGUGUGUCUCCUAGGUGACUCUAGACUGAGUGAAGUUGACAUCAUGUUGCCCAACAUGUGCAGAUUGGGUUUCUCAUCUUCCUGAGGCUGUUUCUCAUUCUAAAAAGGAGAUAGAGACCUAGUGUUUCCAGCCUUGACUUGGCAUGACCUGGACUACAGUGCUCGUAAGUAGGCCCGGGGCUAGAUCAUCUGUUUAUCUGUGUUGCUCCUGGCCAUAGUCCACUGUUUCCUUGGAGCUGUCUGGGAUGAUGAUGAUGAUAUGACAACGACAAUGUUGUCAAUGAUGAUGAGGACAACAAUAAUGCAUGUGUGCCUAGCACAUGUGGGUGUGGGUGCUGACACAUGCCCAUAGGCCAGAGAACAACUCUAUGGAGUCAGUUUCCCCCUUCUAUUUUUGCUUAGGUCCCAGGGAUUGAACUCAGGUUAUAAGGCUGCUACCUUAGUACUGAGCUAUCUCCCUGGUCCAAUCUGGUCUCCAAAGAGAAUUCCAAAUGGGCCACCUAUUUGCUGGUCACCUGGGACAUGCUAGUUUACCUUUCAGAGUUUUCCAGGCCCCAUUAUCUUUGAGCAUCCUUUCUCUUUUGUAUGUUCUCGGGCCAACUGAAGAGACCUGUUUCUUCUGCCGCCGCCGAGGCUGUGGAACAAACGAUCAGGAGGGAACGAGCAAGGAGGCUGCUGAGCUCAAACUGAAUUACAGAGACAAGGAGUAAAGAAAAGCCAUCCCUGCCUGUCAUUGGAGGACAGGAAGAAGUUAGAGGCUUGACGACGCUCAUCUCACUGGUCCUCAGGAGCUAUCUCCAUGUUGUCACCCCAUCUUAAUGUGGAUUUGGACUGUGGAACUGUGGGAAGGAGGGGACACAUGCCACAGAGCAGAAACACUGCUUUAAAGAAAAAAAAAAAAAAAGAAUCCUUUGCUGC
rnacentral:lncRNA from 1 species